rnacentral:tRNA from 1 species
UGUGGCUUAGUUGAAUAAAGCGCCGGUCUGAUGGUACGGAGUCGUGGGUUCGAAUCCCACAAACACAA